rnacentral:misc_RNA from 1 species
UGAAACUCGUCUUCUAUGAUAUCAGCCAAUUAGAGCAGUACAAGCUUUCUCAUCCAUAUAUAUACUUCAUAUGAAUUGGGGUUCUAUAGAGUCUCUAAACAAGUACCAAGUUUUUUUAUGAUGAGUUGGAAGACAAGGCCAUGUGUACUUCAAGUGCCUCCGUCUCUGAUAAGUGAUCACACACUACACAAAAUGCCCUCUUCUCUACUCAUCCAGAUUUUCAUAGAUUUUCUCACAUCCCAAACAACUAUAUGUACAUAUACAUGGAUUACUAGCUGCACAACCAUAUCAAGUCCCAAAUAAGAAAAGAAAAUCUGCCCUUUUGAUCAUUUGCAAUUUGCAGUUUUCAUCAUCUAAACAAUUACAUAGAGCCAUGGCUAUUCGUUUGCCUGGUAUUUAGCAAGCUACUCAGAUUCUUCGUCGAUCAAAUUCAUUGUCCAAAGGUGUUCCUAAAGGCUACUUUGCAGUUUAUGUAGGAGAAGAGGAAAUGAAGAGAUAUGUAAUUCCAGUAUAUCUCUUGAAGCAGCCUUCAUUUCAAGAAUUACUAAGCAAGGCAGCAGAAGAAUUCGGCUUCAACCAUCCAAUGGGUGGACUCACAAUUUCAUGCAGUGAAGACAUCUUCAUUGACUUAAUUUGCCACUUGACUAGAUUGUAAGCUGCAUUGGAAAGAAGGAACAGAAG